rnacentral:rRNA from 1 species
UACGUAGGGAGCAAGCGUUGUCCGGAUUUACUGGGUGUAAAGGGUGCGUAGGCGGCUUUGCAAGUCAGAAGUGAAAUCUAUGGGCUUAACCCAUAAACUGCUUUUGAAACUGCAGGGCUUGAGUGAAGUAGAGGUAGGCGGAAUUCCCGGUGUAGCGGUGAAAUGCGUAGAGAUCGGGAGGAACACCAGUGGCGAAGGCGGCCUACUGGGCUUUAACUGACGCUGAGGCACGAAAGCGUGGGUAGCAAACAGG